UGGCGGCGAGAGCGCGGUGGUCCCACCUGACCCCAUGCCGAACUCAGAAGUGAAACGCCGCAGCGCCGAUGGUAGUGUGGGGCUUCCCCAUGCGAGAGUAGGGAACUGCCA
rnacentral:rRNA from 1 species